rnacentral:lncRNA from 1 species
AGUAACCAAGGUAGAAAGUGUCAAAAAGUGUCAAAAUCAAAAUCUAAAAGCAGGCUUUGGGAAAUGCAGUGAUGUCUGACCCCAACUGCCUGGAUUCAGGCCAGACUUCACAGGGUAAGGAACAGUCCUCCACUUCAGGCCACUCUCACUUCAGACACCAGUAGCCAGUUCAGGGGUUGGUUCCACUACCCCUGCAGGUUUGAUAAUUUGCUACAAUGACUCACAGAACUCAGGAAAGCACUAUACUUAUGAUAAGUUAAACUUUUAUUGCAGCAAAAGGGUACAAAUCAGAACCAGCCAAGAGAAGAGAUACAGAGGGCAAAGUCUGGGAAGAGCUACACGGGAAGCUUUGGGCACCUUCUCCUGUGGAGUUCCAGACAUCACUGCCCCUCCCUGCUACGAGGUGUGGCAGUGCUUGCGAGUGCUGCCACCAGGAAAGCUUGCCCGAGUCUUUGGUGUCCAGAGCCCUUGCUGGAGCUUGACCACAUGCUGCCUGCAUGACUGACCUUUGCUCUCCAGUCCCUAUGGGGGCUGGAACUGAUAUGGCGUGUUUCGGAGCCCCCAUUAUAAAUCACAUCAUUUGAGCAUCUGGUGGCCAAACUCCUCAGGCAAACAAUGACAUUCCUAUUGGGCAGGACAUUCCAGAGGCCUAGAGAUCAUCUCCCAGUAGCCGAGGGCCAAAGCCAGACCUCUCUUUGGUUGGCUUCAGGUCACAUGUUGCUCUGGAGAACCGAGAAGGGUGAGCAGACACCAAUCAUGACCCCAAACAGCAAGAGGACAGAAGGGAUCCCCCCUACUCCACAGCUUGACGGCAGAGCAGUGACCAGAAUAUAUGCUCAGGAAGGCCAAAGAGAUGAAGCCGCAGCUGCCUCUUUUUUUUUUUUGAGACAGUCUCAUUCUGUUGCCCGGGCUGGAGUGCAGUGGUGCGAUCUCGGCUCACUGUAACCUCCACCUCCCAGGUUCAAGCAAUUCUCGUACCUCAGCCUCCCAGGUAGCUGGAACUAUACAGGUGUACCAUCACACCCGGCUAAUUAUUUUUUGUCUUUUUUUGUAGAGAUGGGGUUUCGCCAUGUUGGUCAGGCUGGUCUCGAACUCCUGGCCUCAGGUGAUCCACGCACCUCCGCCUCCCAAAGUCCUGGGAUUAGAGGCGUGAGCCACCGUGCCCAGCCAGGCUUGCUUCUCUGAGCCAUACCCUUCUGUUGGAACAAGCAUCCUUUCUAUUAAAAGCAAUAAAUCUCCUCUUA